AGCAAGAGAAAGAGAAAGAGGAAGGAAAACCCUUCCUUCACAAAUCAAGAAAUUUGAAAGGGAAAUCAUAACCAAAUUCACUGCAUGAACACCAAAAAUCAUUCAUCAAAGUUAGUCUAACAAGAGGAGUAAAGGAGGAAGACACAAGCCAUACCGGAUCGCAAGCGAAACACGACAAAGGUAAAUUAACGUGUUAGGUGGCGCCAAGUUUGGAACGAACACAUCACUCGCAUAUCAUGUUUCCGCAUUUUUCAUGUUCAAAUGGGUCAAAACAUUUUGUUGUUAUAUUUUAGUUUAAUCGUACGCUUGUAAAUAGUGUUUAAAACUAUCGUGUUAGUAUGUUGUCUAUUAGUAAACUUUUAAGUAAUCGUGUUUGGGAUUGUAAGUGUUUGGUUCUUAUAUGUUAAUGAAUGGAACAAAAACUUUUGUAAAUGUCUGUAUGUUUAUGAUAUGCGUUUUUAGACUCUUGUAUGAAUGGACCUUACAAGCAUGAGUAGCUCAAUUUGUUUAUACCUUAGGAAGUGUUUAAUAUACAUUAAUAGA